GAGUUUUCAUAAUUCUAAGAGUUACAACAGCAAAGUAUUUUUCCACUGGCUGAAUCUGGAACGCAACUUCCACUCCCAAAUUUUCUUCGAACGCAAGAACUUUGACAUUCUUUAAUUUGAGAACUACUGGUGUUUGAGCAAGUUGAGUUACAAACUAAUGGCAGAGAGUGUCCUACCUUCACUUCCACAUCUACAUCAACAUCAAAUAAUUCAAAUGAAAGUUAGUUUUCCAUUGAUUGAGACAUGAAACUCUUUAUGAAUAAUUUUAUGUAAUUUUCAUUUCUUUCUUAUUUGUAACAAAAAUAAUCAAUUAGAAAUUUAUAGUAAUGGAGAAAAAAUUAGCACAUCUUACCAGAGUAAACACAAACAGAAAGCACAACCAUUGUAGUGAGAAAGAUCCAGAAAAACUUUUGUGCAUUCAUCUUUUCGUAAGUCAAAUCGUUUUCUUGCAAUAUGAUAUUAGCUUUUGAAUUAAACUCACUUUUAUAUAGUAGUUUUGUAUUAAAUUUUGGUCCAUGAAUAUUCUUAGAUUCUCGAUAUUAAAAGCAUAAAUACAUAACAAACUAAUAUUUAUUUCCUUUGUACAAAUACAUGCAUAUUUUCUUACCUAGGAAAGGCAUCCAAGCAUGCAUGUUACAACAAUAAUUUCAUGCAUGCAUUUAUGGUCCAAUUGUAAACCAAGUUUUCACCUACGUUGUUGGGAGGGAUGAACCUCUUUUUUUAAGUCCUGAAAUCAACCGUUUAACAAAAGUACACCAUACUAUCAUCGAUUUACAUAUAGAAAAAUUGUAGGAAAUGACACAAUUUAAGAAACUGAAAAGAAGCCGAUGGUGUUGAUUUUUUUUAGUCAAUUUAGGAAACUGAAAAAUUCAGAUGAUAAUAGUUGAUUGUAUAUUUCUCAAAUUUAAUGAUGAUAUGAUAACUAUUAGUAAUGACUUCCAAUUUUGAGAAACUCAAAAGAAGCCUAGGGUGUGGAUUUUUUUAAAAUCUUUUAUCAUAAUUUUUUUUUAUUAUAUAUGCAACUAUUUCAUUAUUGUGCUAUACAUAUUUUCCUUAACCUUAAGUGUCAUUUAUGUAAUUUGCCAUUUUAAGAACCUUGAAUUUUUACUAUUAACAUAUAAUUUAAUAUUACAUAUUUGGUAAUAAAAUUAAAAUAUAAUUAUUAAAUAAUUAAGUAAUUACGUGUGACAUUAAUUUAGAGUCUAAAUUCCAAUAGAUUUUUCUUUUAAUACUAUAGUCAACACAAUUGAUGCAUUCUUGAUAGAUUAUUAUAACCUUCAUUUGAUCGUAAGAACCCACAACACAAGUUCUUGCUUUUUGUCACGAUGACCAAAUUACACCCAUGAUUGAUACAAAAGGAAGGCUUAAAUCCAACCAUAGUGAAACUAAUCAAGAAGUGAAUCAACAAAAACUUGGACAUGUCAAUGCCAUAUCUAAUUAUUCCUGUUAUAAUAUUAAAUUCUUGCCCCUAAUGAGAGAAGAAAAAAAGCGUUUUCAUUCUUAAAGAAGAAAAAGAAACAAUAAUUUCUCAUAAAAUAAUACUUGCAACUUUUUUCCUCUCUAUAUUGCUGACCAAGUGGAAUUUAUUUUAAAACAUCCAUGUUUUCUAUUUGUUUUCUAAUUAAUCACUCACAUUUUUGCAUCCACCACUUAAAAGAGAAUAUAAAGCAAAAUUGACUGAAAAGAUAAAUGCAGACUAACUUCAAAUUAUAGACCAAUCAGUCUCACUACAUCCUUAUACAAGAUCAUUCCAAAAACUCUAGCUACUAGACUGAAGCCUCUUCUUCAAUACACUAUCUCCAACCAACAAAUCACUUUCAUCAAUGGCAGACAAAUCACCAAUGUAAUCCUAAUUGCUAAUGAAGCUGUAAACUAUUGGAAGGCAAAGAAGAUAAAAGAUUUUAUUUUCAAAUUGGAUAUUGAAAAAGCCUUUGACAAGAUCAACUGGAACUUCAUAGAUUAUAUCUCGAAGAAGAAGCAUUUUCCUGAUAAAUGGAGAAAAUAAAUAUAUUCAUGUAGCUACUAGACUCCCGCUUCUAUGACUGAAAAUAACUGUCGCGAAAUUCGUUUACGGUAGUAAAUAACCGUCGUCGUAGACCACUUUUGUACUAGUGUAAGCAAGUUUUAGAAGCAUAAGAUAGAAGUUUUUUUCUUUUUCAACGAACUUUCUCAUCCACUAUUGUCUUAUAUUACUUUCUUGAUAUGGACCAGGAGACCUAACAAGAAGCAGUUACAAGAGAACAUCAUUUCCUAAGAUAAUACCAUACGUUACAAAAGUAAUGAAAUUUGAUACUUCCAAUGUUUGUAGCAUUUGUUUAGGAACAUAAAAUCACCUUCGAUAGCAUCACCAACAUUUGUAAUGUUUUCUCUCAUAUAUAUGUUUUCUCCAUUAUAUAUGUUUCAAUAGACUCAAUCAAUCACAAGAGAUAACCAGAAUGGACUGGACAUAACCCAUUUGAUAUAGUUUCAAGUCAACAAUAGAUGGUCGAUUCAGUCAAAUACAUUUCAAACACCCAUUUUAUUGUGAAAGUUGAUGAGCUAUGAAAUAUUCUCCCUCAAUUAUAAACUUAAUUAAAAUUUGUUGAAGUCAAACAAGUAAAACAAUAUUAAUUUUGAGAGAAAAUAUCACUACUUUGAUGUCAUGAAAUUUACCAUAAUCCUUCAACUUUAACAAUCUUAUUCAUGCUAGAUCACUUACACAUAAACAAUGCAUAAUAUCUGUUUUUGUUGUUCUUUUUUCUCCUCUCUUUCUACCUACAUGCUUUCUAAGCUUUAAGUUUUUGAUUAUAUUAUAUCAAUUCAGGUUGAAAAAAGAUUGCAGAAAUUAUAUAUACUUUGUUGUAGGAAGAUGGAAACACAUAAUAGUAGCUAUUAAUUCACUAGUUUUGGCUGAUAGAAAAGCAAGAAAGAAUGACAUAGUUUACAAGCUUGCCCUUUAUUUUUAGCAUAUAGUUUAACUAGUUUAAAUGCUAAUCCUUUUGUGUGGAAUUACUUGAUGUGGUCUAGCAAAACUACUCUAUUAAUUAACUAUACAACACAAUACAAAGAAGUAUAAAAUGUUAUAUACUUUGUGUUUUAGGAUUAAGAACGAUGUUCAUAACUUGUUUUGUAAUAUGAAUUAAGAACAAUAUGUUUCUAUGUUGUAAGUAUGUAAUGACCAACUAUAUUUAUAUGUUCCAUGAGAUAUAUAUAUAUAAUUUGUUAGUUGUUUAGUCAAAAGUUUGGGUUGAUUUGAGAAACAUAACUAGUGCAAUUGAUCCUAUUAUAUACCAUUGUUAGAUUUAUAUCCUAUUAACCCAAGUGUUACCUUAAGGUGUCAAAUUAAUUUAUAUUUUGUUUUUCACUUUGAGUCAAAUUUACCUUUAACCUUAAAAAAAUAUUUUCAUUUUUUUACUCUUACCUUAGCCAAAAUCAAUAUACCAAAAUACAUAUUUUUAUAUAAGAACCUAUCUACAAAAUCUCGAUUGAAUUUCUUAAUUGAGCAUUAUAAAUAUUAUACAUCAAGAAGCAAGAAAAGUUACCUUGAAAUUACUAAGUGCAGAUUUUGUAGAUAUAUGGUAAAAAAAAUUAUCCAUAAAACUUUACGAUCAUGAAUUUUAAGAAAGAUAAUGUCAUUAUUCAUGAUCAUCAUUAACGUUGAUUUAGUUAUGAUUUCUCCAUUUAUUGCCCACAGAAAAGGUUUAUAUUUCAACCCCUUUUUCUAUUAACAUAGUUAAUAAGGUUAUGAAGAAAAAUGUGUGGGGUUUUCAUAAUUCUAAGAGUUACAACAGCAAAGUAUUUUUCCACUGGCUGAAUCUGGAACGCAACUUCCACUCCCAAAUUUUCUUCGAACGCAAGAACUUUGACAUUCUUUAAUUUGAGAACUAUUGGUGUUUGAGCAAGUUGAGUUACAAACUAAUGGCAGAGAGUGUCCUACCUUCACUUCCACAUCUACAUCAACAUCA
rnacentral:lncRNA from 1 species